GGAGAGGUGCCCGGAGUGGUUUAUCGGGGGUCGGAGCAGCAGCUCCGGCCGGGUCUACGGCCCACGCAGGUUCGAAUCCUGCCCUCUCCG
rnacentral:tRNA from 2 species